UACAGAGGUCUCAAGCGUUGUUCGGAUUCAUUGGGCGUAAAGGGUGCGUAGGUGGCGCCGUAAGUCGGGUGUGAAAUUUCGGAGCUUAACUCCGAAACUGCAUUCGAUACUGCGGUGCUUGAGGACUGGAGAGGAGACUGGAAUUUACGGUGUAGCGGUGAAAUGCGUAGAUAUCGUAAGGAAGACCAGUGGCGAAGGCGGGUCUCUGGACAGUUCCUGACACUGAGGCACGAAGGCCAGGGGAGCAAACGGG
rnacentral:rRNA from 1 species